rnacentral:lncRNA from 1 species
CGGGGCAGGGUGGAGCCGAGCGGAGCCGGGUGGAGCCGAGCGGAGCCGAGCGAGUGAGAAGCCGGAGGCCGAGAGGGCCGGGCCGACUUGAAGAGUUUUGGACAAAGAUGAAGAAACAAAUCUAGAGACUGGAUGACCUUGGAUCUCAGCUGUGAACCAAAGCCGUGGAGAUGAAGGAACUCUGGGAGUGAGUGAGGGAAGAGCAGUUGGUAUACAGACAGGGUGUUCCAGCUGCAAGAGGAGGGGAAUGCAGGAAUUGUCUUUUAAAUUUGUUAUCUGCACCUGAACUACACGUAUUCUUUAUCCUUGUGAAAAAUAAAAAUAAUUGCAGAUUAGGCUGAAAUCCAGCCUUCACAGAGGUAUCUGCUGUUCUAAGUGGAUCAAUGUCUGCAUGUGGUUUAUAUGUCUAUUAGUAUACAUGCUAGCUGCAGUGCCAGAAAAGCUUCCAAAUCUCAGUUGCUUAACACAAAAAAGUUUAUCUCUUGCUCAACACACAGUGUGAUGUGGUCGGGAGGUGACUCUGGGCAGCUGUUCCAGAAGGUGUCUCAGGGUCUAGGCUCAAAGUAAUGCUCAUCCCUUGCUUCUAACCUGUGGCAGGAAGAUUGAGUGGGACAUUUUAGGGGCUCAGCUAGAGGUAGCAUAUACUGAGUGUUGCAUAUUCCAACAGCCAGGACUCAGUCACACUGUCUUAAAGUAACUGCAAAGGAGACUGGGAAAUGUAGUAUUCUUAUGUGGGGAAGAUUUGUGAGCAUCAAGCAGAUCUUGCCACAAUAGUCAUGCCUAUCAAUAGGUUAUAUAUUGUAUUACAUGAUGGCAUGAGUAGGCAGUAGAAUAAAAGUGGUUGAAUUUUGGAUAUACAUUAUUUUGGCUGUAGAGUAGGCAGGGCUUACUGAUGGAUAUACAUGGGGGAUAAAGGAUAAAAGAAACCAAAUCUGAUUCCUGAGUUUUGGCAUGUGCAACAUGGGGGUUUGUAACACUGGAUUCUUGACAGAGAGGAAAAGAGACUUGGAGCAGGAAAAGUAUUAUUGGUGUUUUUUUUGUUUUGUUUUGUUUUGUUUUGGUGGGAGGAGUUCUAUUUUUCCAUUGUUAAGUUUGAAUUGCCUAUUAGAUAUUCAUGUGGAGAGGUCUGCAAGCCACAGGAGAAGACAGGGAAGUAGAUCUACAUUUGGGAGGCAUAGGCAUGUGGACAAUAUUGAAUGCCAGGAAGAGGGUGCAGAUAGAGAAGCAUGGAGAGCCUUUCUGUGAGUCCUGGGGCACAUCAAUAUCUAGAGAUGGAGCAGAGGAGAAGUCUAUGACAGAGAUAGAAAAGAACAUCCAGUUAGGUAGAUGGAAAACGAGGUAAAUGUAAUGACAUGGAUAUCUGAGAAGAGAUGAUUUCAAGAAGAAAGGUGGGGCCACCUUGCAUUGAAGACCACUAAGAAAGUGAGCAGGAGAGUGACUAAGAGGGAACCAUUAGUUUUGGCACCAUGAAUGUUACUUGAGGCUCUCAGUGGAACCAGUGUCCUUUCCUUCAGAUGCAGGAAACAGAAGCCAGUUGGAUGCAUUCUGGGAGAAUAGGAGUUGAGGAAAUGGAGGCAACAACCAUAGAUAGAUACUUUUUAUGACUAAAGAGAAUGAGAUGAAAGGAUACCCACCCAGGGUAUUAACACUGGUGGGCUCUGAGAUAUGGGAUCAGGCUCAUUCAGGAAAGUCUGUAUAUUGUUCUCAUUUGUGGCCACUGAACUCUCUGUUUUGCUACCAUGCAAAUCAGCUAUGAAUUGGAGAUAUAUUUUUUUAAAGUAUAGAACUAAGACUCUUGGACUGCUGAGGGGCACUGUGUGUGUGUGUGUGUGUGUGUGUGUGUGUGUGUGUGUCUAGGCAUGCUCUCAACACUUGGAGAGGCAGUUCAUGACCCUGUCUUAGAUUUUACUUCUGGCUCGUGCAGAGCUUCCUGGACAGCCUCAGGUGAGAACCUAGGGCCUUGUCAUGUCUUUCCUAGCAUACUUAUAGUCCUGAGUAUGCAUGCUAUUCCUAUGCAUGCUUAAAGCCCCCCAUGGACACUUUGUUCCCUGGAUUUUACUUUUUAAAAGCUUUUUUGGUUAGCUUGUUAUUUGAUCCACUCUUAUCACUACCUCAGGCAGCUGCAGUAUUAAACACUUGCCAUUGAUGAUUUUUGAUGAAUGCCUGUGGAGAAAAGGCCUUUCACACUGCAGGAAAUCUGAGUGAGGUAAAAUAAAGAGAAGACCUUUGAGUGGCGCUUUCUUAGGAAGCUCCAGAUUAAAUAAGGACAGUUGUCUAGGAUUGGGGUGUUGGAUGUUUCAACCUGUUCUUCCUCUCCAGUAGCUGCUAGGUUGCAGAUUUUAACUAUGAUUACUGAUUUUUGAUUUUCAAAGGUGCUGUGCAGUUGGGAUAAAGUGAGUAAGAAUAGAGCAAUUUAUAUGCCAAAAGAAAUGCUGUCCUUACCAAUAUUCAGCCAUUUUCUUGAAUAAAUGCUCUCUGGAUUAUUAUAAGAUUUUGGUUAAUUUCUAGAGUUCUGAAAGACUUGAUUUCAAUAAUUAUUGCCUGUGUUCCCAUUGCUUUUAUGGAGUAGGGGAGUUUUGGAGGUCCUUAUUCUGCCAUUCCCUUCUGACAUCACUCUAGCUGCUAUUUCUAGUAACUCCGUUUCCUGUCCAGUCCUCUUUGUGCUUACUCUCUGUUCUAUAUACUUUCUCUUUCAUCUUUUCAUCUUCCUUCUGAUUAUUUUAUUGGCUUUCUGCAUAAUGCAAGAUCAUGUUUGAAAUUACUCAAAUGUUAUCUUCCCUGAAUUGUUUAUUUCUGCACCAGUUGUCUUACAAUGAGUACUUUUUCAGCUAGGGAAGAGGUCAUUUGCAAUUGAGCUCUCAAUAGUUCUAGAAGGUGAGACAUGAAACAUACAAUAGGACAAUUCUGAACAAGGGUAUUCCUAAGUUGACUGAAAGAAUAUUCACAAGGAAAAGCUCUUUGUAAAAUUUAUUUCAAAAGGAGGGGAGGGAGACUUGAAGCUAGGUACAUUCAUCUUCAAUAAAGCAUUGACUGUGGAGAAAGGAAAUGAAUAUAGUAAAAUUGGAAGCCAGUUUUUAUCUGAGCUCAAAGCUAAUUCCUCCAAGGAAAGCAGCAUCUCAUAGUUAUUUGAGGGCAUUUGAAGUGUAAUUUUGAUACAGUUGAGAGAAACUGUGCUAGCAAGAAAUAUUAUAAACAUAAAAAUGUGGGAAAUUAUUAGUUCAACCUAUGCAUGUGUAAAACUUUUUUUAAUAUAAUAAUGUGGGACAACUUUCAGUUAUAACAAACUUCAUAAGACAUCAAGAGGUUCAUAGUGUAGAGGUUCCUAUAAGUGUAAUAAAUGUAGGAAGGCCUUCACUAGAAAAUUCCACUUCAUUGUGCAUAGAGAAGUCAUACUGGAGAGAAUUUUUAUGAUUUUAAUUAAAGUAAAAAGCCACAGUACCAGGGGUUAAAAUUCUUUAGCCACCCAAAAUUUGUAGAAAUGAUAAUCCUAAUCAAUAUAACAAAUAUGGCAAAGCUUUCUUCAGUGGAUAAUACUUUAUUGUAUAUCAGAAGAAUCACACAGGAGGGGAAAUUAGAUUCCUAUAGCUGCCAAAACAGAUAAGCACAAAUUGGGUGGCUUAAAACAACAGGAGUUUAUUCUCUCACAGCUUAAGAGGCCAGAAGUCAGAAAUAAAGGGAUUUGGGAAGUUUGUUCCUUCUGGAGGCUCUCAAGAAGAAACUGUUCUAUGCCCUUCUCCUAGAUUCUGCUGGUUGCCAGUAAUUUUUGGCAUUGCUUGAUGUGUAGCUAUAUCACUCCAGUCUCCAUCCUCACAUGGCUUUCUUCUCUGUGUGUGUCUCUGUCUCUUCUACUCUUCUUGUAAGGAAACCAGUCAUCAUAUUUAGGGCAUAUCCUAAUUUCAGUAUGACUUUAUCUUCAAUAAUUACAUCUGAAAAGACCCCAUUCCAAAUAAAGUUACAUUCCAAGAUUCUGGGUGGAUGUGAAUUUUGAGGGGGAGGUGGACACUAUUCAACCCACUACAAACCCCGUGAAUGUAGUAAAUGUGAGAAACCUUGUACCUGUAGCUCAGUUUCUGUACAACAAUAGUAAGAAGUCCUUUGAAUGCUAGCAAUGUGGGCAGUUCUUUAACUAUAAAUCAUCCUUCAUUAGUAUUGGAGAAUUCAUACUGGAGAGAAUACAGUAUAAACUGUAAUUAGUGUGGAAAUACUUUUCAAAAUAACUUCUCUUUUACUAAUGUAAAAACUCCUAAUACUCCUAAAUCUCAUUAAUAUAGUCAAUGUAUUAAAUUAUUUAGAUACCUCAUUAACCACAGAGAAUGCACAUUGAAGAGAAACCUCAUGAUUAUGUCACAGAGCCUUUAGCUAUAAAGACCUCAUUUAGAGAGCAAAUAAUUUACACUGGAGAAAACAUUAUCAAUUUAUUACAUUCAUCAGAAUGUAUAAGAGUUCAUUAAUUACUUGGCAUGUAAAGACUCAUGCACGUGGAUAAACAACAUGUGAGAACUCAUACAGGUGAAAAGCCAGUUUGGGAAAAUCACCUGGAAAAGAAACUUUGUAAAUCACUAAAUUCAUCCUGAGUACAUACUGAAUUAUUCUAUUAAUUUGGAAAAUUUGGAAUUCAUGUAAACAUAUUCUAAUAAAUUGAUAUUAUCAGAUACCAAAAAGAAAAACUUAUAAGCUUUAAGAUUCUUCAGUAUAGUGUUUAUAAUUUUUUGCAUAAUUUAAAUUAAUUCAGGUAGCAGAAUAAAAAUUCAAAUACACUGGAAAGGAAUAGGAAUAUGAUAGGGUAUGAUUCAGAGUCCCUACUCUCGUAGUACCUUACUUUUAUUUUUUAAACCAACAAGUUAGAAGGGAAACCUAUUUAUGAGGGUCAUGUACCAUAUUUUAUCAAAUCAAACUUGUAAUGAACUGUGAGAUAUGCCAUUAUUUUGUGUACCACUAAGACUUAAAAAACCUCCUAGACUAUGGUAUUUCAUUGAUUAUAAGAUGCAUCAUGAUUCAGAGGUGUUGAAAUGUGGGGGUAUAAGUGAACCCUACAAUGGAGUCUCUAAGCCAUAUGAUAAUUCAGUAAUAUUUCAUUAGGUAGAGGGAAAAAUGCAUUGGAUUUGAGCCCAAAUUAACAAAAUCUAAUCUUUUCCUCUCUACCAAAAAUCUUGUGCUGAAAUAGUAAUUGCACUUAUUUCUGUAAUAUUU